CAGUCGCCGCGGGAAUACGGAGGGGGCAAGCGUUAUCCGGAAUUAUUGGGCGUAAAGGGUACGUAGGUGGCCUUUUAAGCGUAGGGUAUAAGGCAAUGGCUCAACCAUUGUUCGCCCUAUGAACUGGAAGGCUUGAGUGCAGGAGAGGAAAGUGGAAUUCCUAGUGUAGCGGUGGAAUGCAUAGAUAUUAGGAGGAACAUCAGCGGCGAAGGCGGCUUUCUGGACUGCAACUGACACUGAGGUACGAAAGCGUGGGGAGCAAACAGGAUUAGAUACCCCCGUAGUCCCUGUCUCUUAUACC
rnacentral:rRNA from 1 species